AUUGAACGCUGGCGGCAUGCCUUACACAUGCAAGUCGAACGGUAACGGGCCUUCGGGUGCCGACGAGUGGCGAACGGGUGAGUAAUACAUCGGAACGUGCCCGAUCGUGGGGGAUAACGAGGCGAAAGCUUUGCUAAUACCGCAUACGAUCUACGUAUGAAAGCAGGGGACCGCAAGGCCUUGCGCGGACGGAGCGGCCGAUGGCAGAUUAGGUAGUUGGUGGGAUAAAAGCUUACCAAGCCGACGAUCUGUAGCUGGUCUGAGAGGAUGAUCAGCCACACUGGGACUGAGACACGGCCCAGACUCCUACGGGAGGCAGCAGUGGGGAAUGUUGGACAAUGGGCGCAAGCCUGAUCCAGCCAUGCCGCGUGGAGGAUGAAGGCCUUCGGGUUGUAAACUGCUUUUGUACGGAACGAAAAGCCUUCUUUUAAUACAGGAGGGUCAUGACGGUACCGGAAGAAUAAGCACCGGCUAACUACGUG
rnacentral:rRNA from 1 species